GGCAUAUCACCCCCAAGAGUCCACAUCGACGGGGAGGAUAGGCACCUCGAUGUCGGCUCGUCGCAUCCUGGGGCUGUAGUCGGACCCAAGGGUAGGGCUGUUCGCCCAUUAAAGCGGCACGCGAGCAGGGUUCAGAACGUCGUGAGACAGAUCGGUCCCUAUCCGUCGCGGGCGCAGGAUAUUUGAGAGGAGCUGUCCUUAGUACGAGAGGACCGGGAUGGACUCACCGCUGGUGUACCA
rnacentral:rRNA from 1 species